rnacentral:rRNA from 1 species
UACGGAGGAUCCAAGCGUUAUCCGGAUUUAUUGGGUUUAAAGGGUGCGUAGGCGGCCUAUUAAGUCAGGGGUGAAAGACGGUAGCUCAACUAUCGCAGUGCCUUUGAUACUGAUGGGCUUGAAUAUACUAGAGGUAGGCGGAAUGUGACAAGUAGCGGUGAAAUGCAUAGAUAUGUCACAGAACACCGAUUGCGAAGGCAGCUUACUAUGGUAUAAUUGACGCUGAGGCACGAAAGCGUGGGGAUCAAACAGG